UACGUAGGGUGCAAGCGUUAAUCGGAAUUACUGGGCGUAAAGCGUGCGCAGGCGGUUAUGCAAGACAGAUGUGAAAUCCCCGGCUCAACCUGGGAACUGCAUUUGUGACUGCAUGGCUAGAGUGCGGCAGAGGGGGAUGGAAUUCCGCGUGUAGCAGUGAAAUGCGUAGAUAUGCGGAGGAACACCGAUGGCGAAGGCAAUCCCCUGGGCCUGCACUGACGCUCAUGCACGAAAGCGUGGGGAGCAAACAGG
rnacentral:rRNA from 1 species